AACCAGUGGUAUAAGUCAGUUUGAGAAAAAAGCUUGAGAAGCAGAAGAACCAAUAGUAUAAAUCCCAGUCUGAGGUCAGGAGAAGAUGAGAUAAGAAGUCUCAGCUCAAGUGGAAGUCCUCCUUCCUCUGCCUUUUGUUCUUUUCAGGUCCUCAACAGAUUGAAAGAUGCCCUCCCACAUUGAUGCAAGUGGUAAUCUCAGCUAGAAAUACUCUCACAGGACAUACCCCCAGAUAAUUUUUAAUCUGGGCACCCCAGCCAGUCAGUUGAGACAUUAAAUUUAACUAUGACAGAUACCUAUUAGUGUUCUUUUGAUGCAUUAGUUAUAAUUCUUGUUCAGCAAUAAAUUUCAAAUGCUUGCAGUUUUGGCUGAAACAUUGAGAAAAUAAUUAUGAAAAGUGGGUGUAUAUAUAAAGUACCAUGUCCAUUUUGAAAUACAGAUUUAAGGGUAGAAAAGAUGUUAUCCCUCAAAGAGUGUUGACCUGAAAUAGACUGCCAGAUAUUUCUGUAGGAAAGAUGGAUUUAUUUGGGAUCAACAGAGAAUUACAAUUUGGGAUUAGCUACCAUGGUGAGCCAUGUGCAAGUCCCCACAUACAAGGGAAGGAGAAGACUUUCAUAGAGAGGAAAAGGAAGUUGGAAAGGCUACAGUAAACAAAGAGUCCAUGGCUUUUCAUUGGCUGAGUCCUUGCCAGGAAAAAAAUGGAGUCGUUCUUCCUGUUGGGCUCUGCUAGCAUUGCAGGGCACGAGAGCUCCCCCUUCUGGUCUCCCAAUUCUAUUUAAUCAAACUUUCUGUUUAUUGUUAUUAUUAUUUUUUACAGGAGUUAAUACAGCCCUACAGAAUUGGAUUAUAUUUUAUUGGGGGUAAAUUGUCUGAAGAUGAAAGCUGCCUACAUUUUGAGUAAUUUUUCUAGUAGGAAUUUUUCUUUUAACUUAGUAGUUACAGAUUUUUCAACCUUUUCAUGUAUGAAAGUCUGAUCUCUAAAAUGUCUAUAUUAAAAUUAAUAACUAAAUUAAAUAAUGUAACUACAACAACUAUAUAACUAUUUUAAACCAUAGGACUCCGAUAACAGCAGUAGAUGCCUAGAAAGAAAGAGCUGUGUGUCUUCUCAGAUGGCUAAAAGAUACUUGAUUCCAUGCUGGGCUAAGUCACUGAAUGAGGUAUGUAUUUUAGAAUAUAAUAAUUUUCACUUUCUGAUGCUGUGGAAUUUGUCUUCUGGGUCACCACUCUUUAAUUUUUGAGCAAGCAGAUAAAAUAUAUUUGCCUUCACUUGUAAGACUAGAUUUAUUUUAACAGAGGUGAAUUUGGUUGAUGGUGCCUCUGGAUUGUCUUUUAAUUUAAUUUCUGGAUCUUUAAUCUUUUUGAUUAUACAAUGUAUGGAUUAAAUUUAUAACUAAAUUUUUAAAAGAGCCACUAUAUAUAGUUAAUAAUUAAAUACAAAAAUGUCUAUAUAGUGUUGUGGAAACCGCAAAAACUGUGGCAACGGAAGGAGACAAACAGCACUUGGAGACAUGGAAAAGCAAGGUUUAUUCAGCACUGGUGCGGGCUCAGAGGAGUCACCUCCAGAGUCUGAGCACCAGGUCUUUGUUCUCAGUAACUUUUAUACACUGCAAGGUCUUGAUUUUCCCAUGUAAGCAUCCCGGGCCUCCCCCAUCCCCAAGCAGACAGUGUUCCUCCCUAAGAAACUGAGCAAGCAAGGUUACAGAAGCGGAACUGGUAAGCAAUGCUGGGUACUUGAUUAGCAGGGCUGCUGGCUUGGACAGAGAGCACACAGUUGUUACAUUAUUACAAGAAGGGUGGCAUAGUGAUGAGCACAGCUGGAAAGGCUUGCAGCUGCCUUCUUAGCCAAGGGGGGUUGUUCUUUAGUUAAAACUCCAUUUCAAUAGUACUUCAUGCAAAGAAAUUAUAGGUGCUUUCAGGGAUACAAAGAUGAAUAAUCCAUCACUCUUUACUCUGGGGUUUAAUAUUUUUGUAGAGAAAAUAAUAUAAAGCCCAAUUAUAAUACAAAGCAGGAUUUGAAGUAUGGACAAAACACUUUAGAGGGUCAGUAAAGAAAUAAAGCUGAAGGAAUUAGGAACUGUUUGGCACAGCCCUGAUCUGAAACACACAAACCAGGCAGACUGGUAUUAUGAAUUAUGAAUUCAUGGUCACCGACUCUGCCUAACUGGCAAUCUUAGUUCACUUCUUUUAUCAGCUGACUCACUGUGAAAAACACUUUAUACCUCCUUCCACCCUCUUCUAAUCUCCAACCCACCUGCUCCUGUCUUUACUCUUUGUAGUAGAAGAUCAUAUUUCAUGCUUUGCCGAGGAGCAGAGACAGGCAUCCUUUCAUCACCCCACCGUCAUAUCCUCAAACUUAUUAACUGCUCAUAUCCAUCCUCUGUUAUGUUAGAAAGUCGGUUGUUUGUUGUGAAUUCUGAAUCCUCCACUCUGCUUUUUCAGGAAUCUCUUUCCUUUCUUUAUGUUUGUUCUUUCCUGUUCCUGGAGCCUCUCUUCUGCUGGAUUCUUUCUAUCAUCAUUCAGAGCUCCUUAGUGCAUGCAUGACUCCUUCAAAAUAGGUUGGUGAUGUGUUCAAUGGAAAGAACCUAACACACAAUUGUGGGGAUCAAGUCUCUGUACAGAUGAAAGGGCCUAUGGAGACGUCAUAUAAAGCAGGGACAGUGCGGGGUGCUCCUGUUGUAGCUCUGUCAUCCCGGGUCCCCUGAGUUCCCCCUGGGCCAUACGCCUAUGAAUGAGUACAUGUGGCCAGUGAAGAUUCCCAAAAACUCUGUUUUCAUGAUCACAGGAAUUUUUAUUCUUCACUUCCCUUCUUUCACCUGGCUCUUCAUUGCCAAGCAUAACCUCAUUUCUGGUUGCUUAUCUAGUGUUAGCAACAGGUAGAGAACAAUCCCAACAAAUUCCUGAGUAGUAAUUAAAAAUUAAGUGUAAUUAAUGAGUAGGAGCAUAGUUUCUCAGCCUGGUAUAUUAGGUCACCUACACUUCAGGCCUCUCUGAGGCCCAUGUCCUUCCUCUAAGAAAUUCCUAGGCCUCCCACUCUGUUCUAGACUCUGGUUUAUUUGGUCUUCCCUUUAUUGGUAAUUUCUAACUGCUCUGUUCUUAACCUGUUCUCUUUCUUCUUCCGUCCCUUUGACUCCACUGAACCUCGUGCUGAAGUGUUAAGUGCUUUUCAGCUAUUUUUUCUUUAUUACUCAGUUUUCUUAACAAUGGAUCUCUUCCUUCUUGAAACCAUUUCUUCUCUUAGCUUUCAUGCUCUGCUUCUUGUCUUACUACCUUUCUAGCCUUUCCUCUUCUUCUCUGUUGGCUUAUCUUCAUGCACUUUAGAAAUCGGGCAUUCUUUAAUCCUCAGUCCUAGAAUAUCUUCUCCUUCUACACUGUAUCUCAGGGCAAUCUCAUCUGUACCCAUGGCUGCAAAUUGCUAUCUACUUGCUAAAGGCUGCCAGAUUUAUGCCUGUGCACAAAUAUUGCUACUGAACUUCAGUAUCAUUUGACCAAUAUGGAUAUUGUUUCUUGAAUAUUUUCCGAAUCUAGUUUUUUUGAUUUCCCAUUCCUACCACAAAUCUGGCCUCCAUUGUCCCCCAUCUAUGUAAAAGGAAAUUUCAUCCACUUGGUUGAUUAUCCUAGAAAACUAGGAAUCCCAUCGGAAUUCCUCUCUCAACUCCAGUAGUCAAUCACCUUAUUCAGAAAGGUACAUCAUAGGUAGAUCUUGAAUCCACCCACUUCUCCACCUCUGCUGUAACUUACCUGGUCAAAGGCACCAUCGUCUUCCACCUGUCGUGCUGUACUCUCCCGUAAUUGGUCUCCCUUGUUUCCCUCUAAACCAUUCUCCACCCAGCAGCUAGAGUGGUAUUUUUAAAAUGCAGAUAUGGUGGUCACUCCUUAGUUCCCAUGGUUCUUGGUGUGGAGUCCACAGUGCUCCACAUGGUCUCCAAGGCCCUGCAUAGUCCACCCUCUGCUUUCCAAUCCUGUGUUGGUUCUUGGAAGACAAUACAUGCCUAGCUUCCUCAAGAUCUUUGCACAUGUCAUUUCAUCUGUGUGGAAUAAUGUCCCUCUUUAUUCUUCCCUUUGCCAAUCUUAUUCUUUUUUAGGUGCUACUUUAAAUUUCUAUUCCUUAGGAAAAAAAAAAAAA
rnacentral:lncRNA from 1 species